rnacentral:rRNA from 1 species
GACGAACGCUGGCGGCGUGCUUAACACAUGCAAGUCGAACGGUAAGGCCCUUCGGGGUACACGAGUGGCGAACGGGUGAGUAACACGUGGGUGAUCUGCCCUGCACUUCGGGAUAAGCCUGGGAAACUGUGUCUAAUACCGGAUAGGACUACUGGCUUCAUGGUUGGGGGUGGAAAGCUUUUGCGGUGUGGGAUGGGACCGCGGCCUAUCAGCUUGUUGGUGGGGUAAUGGCCUACCAAGGCGACGACGGGUAGCCGGCCUGAGAGGGUGACCGGUCACACUGGGACUGAGAUACGGCCCAGACUCCUACGGGAGGCAGCAGUGGGGAAUUUUGCACAAUGGGCGCAAGCCUGAUGCAGCGACGCCGCGUGAGGGAUGACGGCCUUCGGGUUGUAAACCUCUUUCAGCUAUGACGAAGCGCAAGUGACGGUAGUAGCAGAAGAAGGACCGGCCAACUACGUGCCAGCCGCCGCCGUAACAC